rnacentral:rRNA from 1 species
AAACUAACAAGGAUUCCCCUAGUAACGGCGAGUGAAGCGGGAAAAGCUCAAAUUUGUAAUCUGGCGCCUUUGGCGUCCGAGUUGUAAUCUCGAGAAGUAUUUUCCGCGCUGGACCGCACAUAAGUCUGUUGGAAUACAGCGUCAUAGUGGUGAGAACCCCGUAUAUGGUGCGGAUGCCCAGUGCUUUGUGAUAUACUUUCGAAGAGUCGAGUUGUUUGGGAAUGCAGCUCAAAUUGGGUGGUAAAUUCCAUCUAAAGCUAAAUAUUGGCGAGAGACCGAUAGCGAACAAGUACCGUGAGGGAAAGAUGAAAAGCACUUUGGAAAGAGAGUUAACAGUACGUGAAAUUGUUGGAAGGGAAACGCUUGAAGUCAGACUUGCAUUUUGGAGUUCAGCCGCAAGGUGUAUUCUUCAAUUCGCAGGCCAGCAUCAGUUUUUGGGGGUGGAAAAUCGCGGUUUGAAGGUAGCAGUCUCGGCUGUGUUAUAGCUUUCCGCUGGAUUCACUUUUGGGGACUGAGGAACGCAGUACGCUUUUUGCAAGAUUCUCGAGUCUUUCGUACUUAGGAUGCUGGUGGAAUGGCUUUAAACGACCCGUCUUGAAACACGGACCA